AAUGAACGCUGGCGGCGUGCUUAACACAUGCAAGUCGAACGAGAAAGUUCCCUUCGGGGGAUGAGUAGAGUGGCGCACGGGUGAGUAAUACGUAGAUAAUCUACCUUUGAAUUUGGGAUAACAUUGCGAAAGUGGUGCUAAUACCGGAUAAUAUUUAUAAGGCCUUGGUCUUGUAAAUCAAAGAUGGCCUCUUCUUGAAAGCUAUUGUUUGAAGAUGAGUCUACGCACCAUUAGCUGGUUGGUGGGGUAAAGGCCUACCAAGGCGACGAUGGUUAGCUGGUCUGAGAGGAUGAUCAGCCACACUGGAACUGACACACGGUCCAGACUCCUACGGGAGGCAGCAGUGAGGAAUUUUGCGCAAUGGGGGAAACCCUGACGCAGCAACGCCGCGUGAGUGAUGAAGGCUCUUGGGUCGUAAAACUCUGUCAGUAGGGAAGAAGUUAUUCAUAGUUAAUACCUGUGGAUAUUGACGGUACCUACAAAGGAAGCACCGGCUAACUCCG
rnacentral:rRNA from 1 species